CAGACGAUGGGAGCGAAGGAAAGGCAGGGACUGUCGAUGCUGAGCUGCACGAUGCCAUCCCGAUGCCCUGGGCCCCAGCCCGGCGCCGCCGCUUGCGACGUGCAGAGAGCCGAGCGCCGCCCCGCAGCCCCCGCGCUCGCCUCCGCUCCGUUCCCUGGCGGGACUGGGCGAGAGCCCGAGCGGCAGCGGCGCAGGGCUGAGCCCCGGGGCGGAGCUGGCGGCGGCCCAGAGGAGGCGGCACGGCCGCAGCAGAGCCGGGGCUCAGGGGCACAGCGAGGCUCGGCCGGCGGAGCGGCGCCAUGCGGCGGGCUCGGGCCGCGGGGCUGCCGGCGCUGGCCGCGCUGCUGCUCGUGGCUUCAGGCAGAGCCCAGGUGCAGCAGGAGCCAUUCCUGGAGACCACCGAGGGCACCGGCAUCAACAUCACCUGCUCACAUUCCCAGAAAUUGAGCGGCGAUUUCAUCCAUUUCUACCGUCAGCUGCCGGGUCGAGCACCCGAAUUCCUCGCCCUCGCUGCCUAUACAGGCUCCAAGGAUGUGCCGGGCAUUGCAGGAACGCUGUCGGUGUCGGAGGACGGGCGCUCCAGCGCGCUGUGGCUGGCUGUGCCCCGGCGCGGGGACGCGGCCGUGUAUUACUGCGCGCUGGGGGCCACGGGCAGAGGAGCCGGGGCUGCGGCCGGGCACGAACCGCCGCGGGCGGGGCCGGGCGGGGCCAGCAGGGGCCGCUGCCGCUCCGCCCGCCGGGCUCCCGGGGCGCGGCUCCGCAGCUCCUUCCUCUGCCCCGAGCCCGCCCGCACCGACAGCGCCGAUGGCACCGAAAAGGCCGACACGCUCCGGGACUGCUGGCCCUCCCUUUAACUACUAUUGCUUCUCCUCCCUUCCAUCACAUCCCUCAGCAUCCCUGACGCCUUGCUGGGAAUAAAGCAGCAACCCGAGUAGAAGAAGCAAUUAAAGAACUCCUACUGCACAUACACGAGUUCAUGGUACCACACACACACCCUGGGGCUUGCACACGCCCAAAUGAUAACUCAUAGCUCUGCAUCUAUGAAGAGGUGUGUGCACACACAUUUCCAAAGGAGACCCAGGCACAGACACUUCUCCUUCUGCCAUGUCCCCACUGAUGUGCAAACACGCACGCUCGCUCCUAUUCCUGC